rnacentral:rRNA from 1 species
GGAUUGCCCUAGUAACGGCGAGUGAAGCGGCAACAGCUCAAAUUUGAAAUCUGGCUCUUUCAGAGUCCGAGUUGUAAUUUGCAGAGGGCGCUUUGGCGUUGGCAGCGGUCCAAGUUCCUUGGAACAGGACGUCACAGAGGGUGAGAAUCCCGUACGUGGUCGCUGGCCUUCGCCGUGUAAAGCCCCUUCGACGAGUCGAGUUGUUUGGGAAUGCAGCUCUAAAUGGGAGGUAAAUUUCUUCUAAAGCUAAAUACUGGCCAGAGACCGAUAGCGCACAAGUAGAGUGAUCGAAAGAUGAAAAGCACUUUGGAAAGAGAGUCAAAUAGCACGUGAAAUUGUUGAAAGGGAAGCGCUUGCAGCCAGACUUGCCUGUAGUUGCUCAUCCGGGCUUUUGCCCGGUGCACUCUUCUGCGGGCAGGCCAGCAUCAGUUUGGGCGGUUGGAUAAAGGUCUCUGUCAUGUACCUCUCUUCGGGGAGGCCUUAUAGGGGAGACGUCAUACAACCAGCCUGGACUGAGGUCCGCGCAUUUAUGCUAGGAUGCUGGCGUAAUGGCUGUAAGCGGCCCGUCUUGAAACACGGACCAAGGAGUCUAACAUCUAUGCGAGUGUUUGGGUGUCAAGCCCGAACGCGUAAUGAAAGUGAACGGAGGUGGGACCCCAUUAGGGUGCACCAUCGACCGAUCCUGAUGUCUUCGGAUGGAUUUGAGUAAGAGCAUGGCUGUUGGGACCCGAAAGAUGGUGAACUAUGCUUGAAUAGGGUGAAGCCAGAGGAAACUCUGGUGGAGGCUCGCAGCGGUUCUGACGUGCAAAUCGAUCGUCAAAUUUGGGCAUAGGGGCGAAAGAC